ensembl:lncRNA
GUGAUCCAGAAAUAGAUAGGGGGCAUCGCUCCUAUAAAAGGGAAACCAUUCAAGAGUACAGUGUGUGCACAGUGUGAACGGGCGCGAUGCAAGUGCGCGUUUUGUGGAGGAAAAUUGUCUUUUCCUGGUACUACUUUUCGUGUUUUUUCUAGAGGAACCUCCGCUGCUACGACGGUUCUCCACGUCACACGCACACGCACACACACACACACACACACACACACACACACACACACACACGCUGCGAUGGGAGACAGCAGCAGUGACUGAACCCCGGUGAGGUCAGCCAGCCUGAUCUCCAAAACCUGUUCGUAAAAAUGUAUACGAACAUCUUGAACAUACAAAUUCGUAGUGAUACAUACGAAAUAAAUACGGACUGCGACUGAUGACGUCACCCUGUUCAAAGUGAACGGGGACCUGCGCCCCGUAAACACACUUUGUGAAAUCUAACGAUGUAAAAUAAACGUGUUUAUUGCAUUUUUAACGAGAAAUGAAUGUUAACUUGUAAGAAUAGAAUCCUAAGCAAAACCCCCUCAAAAAAUCCAACAUGGCGGAGAGACGUUCACUCAAGAAUCCGACAUGGUCCGCCAUGUUGUUCACUCAAGGGGCGUGGUUAACCACCGCCAGUUCCCAUGUAUUGUUACGAAUUUGUAUGUUCAAGAUUUUUGUAUACAUUUUUACAAACAGGUUUUGGAGAUGACGUUGGGUCAGCAGGUGCAGCCCACAGAGUCGGAGAAGUGUCAAAGGGAAGUCAACAAACGCACUGCAUUUGUGUAAUAAAAACACAGUGUUUUCAUCUCAAUUGAAAUACUCAGUUUCCAUUCGGGCUCAGCAUUAAAAACAUGCAGGAGAAAGUCUUACAACAGGAUGUCGUGUUGAGCCUUCUAAUAGUUACAUAUACAGGGAGGAAUAACACAAUGACAUUAUUACAAAAAGAUAGUAUCUUGUCUCCCUCAUCGUGUACAUUCUGGGGUAUUCCCAUGAAUCGUGUAUUUACUAGGGCUGUCAAUAGAUAAACAAAAAUUAACAAAUUAAUCGCACAUUUUGAAUUGCAUUAAUCUCGAUUAAUGGCGAUUAAUGGUGAUUAAUGAAUGUUGUUGUUGUUACACCGUGGUUUUUAAUUUUCUUUUACUAAAUCUUACAAGUAAUUACGAGUACACUUUUGAAAAGGUGUAUUUUAGACACUGUUUUUAAAUUGUCAAUGUUAUUUUAAACACAAAACUACAUACAUUUUAUCAUCAUGGAGGCAGAAUUCCACCGGGUGGAACUAGCAACUCUUCCAGCUAGCUUAGCCUAGCAGAUAGCUUAGCAUAGCGGUGCUUUCAGUGGUCCGUUUGCCACUCACCCCCCUUCUGUUUGACACGUGGAGGAAUUCCUCUGCACACUUCUCCGCCGUAUGUCUGUUUGUUUCACUGCACAUCUGGAGCUACCGUCUUGCUAUCUCCGAAGUAACUGACUGCCGCUAGCGGCCGUUACGUUUCCCCGGUCAAUUUCCGGUUACUUCCGGAAGUAAACAAAAGUACGUUAACUAUGUUAAAAUAUUUUGUUGGAUUAAUGUUGGCCACAUUAAUCGCAUAGAUUAAUGCGUUUAUGUUGACAGUCGUAGUAUUUACCUUUUGCCGUGAUGAAAGCUCCAGCUGCUGGAGGCUGAGAGGUCUUAAAUGUCCCCCCUCCCUUGGAUUUUUUUCAUCCGCUCAUAUUCUUUACAGUAUACACAAGCUGGGUGGGAGACUCAGUCAGUUUGGAGAGGCGUGAGGACUGUCGCUGAUGGGUUAAACAAAAAGAAGAGUAUUUGAUAUUUGAAAAUAAAUAAAUACUUGAAAUGACACACAGACAAGGUAAAGAUGAGUAUGUCAUAUUAUGUGUCAUUCGCAUUCUUCCUCCUCAUUUCGUUUUUUCUGUAAUGUGUUAAGAUACACCCUAUACUUUGUGUUUAUUUAUUUAUAAAACACAGUCUGAGAUGAGAUGACAUAAACAUGUCCUCCGUGUGCAACAAUCACGGCAGCUCACAGUAUAAUUCUGAUAAGUUUGUUGAGAUCUUACACAUUGAUGUGCAAACAUUGCUGAGCCACCAUCCACUCUCACACACACACACACACACACACACACACUCUCACACACGCACACACUCUCACACACGCACACACACUCACACACACACCUACACACACAGACACACACUUUCUGCUGCGCCGUGUCCACGAGGCGGACCAGUUAGAAUCAUCAG